AAGAAAUGAAACCUCUGCUGUCAAGAAAUUUUCACUCAAAUUAAUUAGUAUGGGACUGGAAUUAACAUUUCAUUUUAUUGCCUGUAAAUUUGAAUGUGAGAAAUACUGGAAGAUAAUCUUUCCCAAUGACUGAAAGAGAAGAAAACAGAUGAAGAUGAGUCAAGAAACUGGAUCUGUCCACUGAAGGACGAGG